AAUGUCUAUGAUCUCUCAAAGGGAAGUCCACACAUAGUCUCAGGUCUCAGGGUCUGUAGCAGAGGCUUUGGCUGCAACCAAAUCCUGCCCCUUCCUGAAUAGAAACAGAGGAGGGGUGGAUUAUGGGUGGGCGACAAAUAAGGGGAAGAGGAAAGAUGGGGUGGAGAAGAGGGAGAGGAAACUGUGGCCAGGAUGUAAAAUAAAUAAAUUUUUAAGAUGCAUACAUACUAAAAACAAUCCUAAAGCAAAUGACCAGCAGGAACCUUCUCUCUGCUGUCCAUAUUAAGGGACUGGUGACAAAAUGCUUACUUUGUAUCCCUGAGUACAAGAGGAGACCCCAGUUCCACCUCAGAUAUUUCUGCCUCCCUCCUGGCAGUCUUUCUUAGGACCUGCUUUGGGAAUGUGGUCCAAGGUCCAUGGGUUAAGGCUAGGAGGGUAGAAACAUGGCUGCAUCUGCCCAACCCCAAUCCUCUUGCGGGAGCUGUGGUGUGGGAUGGUCACCGCAGUCCCUUCUUACCUUGUGCCGUCCAGGUGUUGCUGGAAUCAUAAUCCAAUGCUUCUAAACUUUCAGUCUGAAGAACAGGGUACUUAGUGUGUUCAGGACUGCCCGGGAAGGGGUGUCCAUGCCAGGAAGAUAUCUGACCACCAGUUGGAAGGCACUCAAGUGACCCCAGAAUGGUAAAAUUAAAAACCAUCUAAGAAAAAUAUAAUGAGAGAGAAAAGACCCUACAAGCUGCAUGAAUUCAGCCGAGUCCUGCAAUGCCCAAGGUCCACUGUUCUUUGCCAAGUGACAGACCAUCUCCACAGGCUUUGCCUUGCAGAGACCCAUUGGACAGGCAUUCAUAUGCGGAUCAGAGACUAGGCUGCAUGGCUCCCUACACUGAAAUCUGUGCCUGUGCCUGAGACUAAGUUAAGGUGCUCUGUGUCCUUGUGAGAAAAAGGAAAACAAGGCUGAAUAAGGCCUCUCCUGAGGCUGGUGAUGCAGCCUGAGGAAAUGUUCCACACAAAACAUUCAGGAUGGGUCUUACUACCUCAGAAACACCUCUCCAGAAACACCCUCAGAUAUGUGCCCAGAUUUCUGCCUCUUAAGAAAACCUAGUUCCUGCCACACUACCUAGAAUCCAGUCUCAACUUCAGAUAUCAUUAUUGUGGGUACUGCUCUGCAAGGGCCUUCACAUUCACGCUCUAUUGGCUAGGUCUCCAGGAAGAGGUGGAUCUCUCUUUCUUGGCUGCUGCCUCUUCCUCAAGCCAGGGGACCUCUUUUCUUCAGCCACCUGAGAAGUGGUCAAUACCAUACCCCUACCAUGGCAUGGGUAGCAAUACAGGAGAAUCAUUAGACUCUAAAUGUGAAUACUUUUAGAGUCCAUCUGAGUGAUACCAGGACAUUUUUGGCUAUGGAGAAAUAUCCCUCGCUCUGCAAUAGUGACCCCAACUCGCCUCUUUUUGGAACCCAGAAAAAAUGCUCAACUCCCUCAGCCAUUCUGUCUCAUUGUUGAGACCACCAGGGCAGGAUGACAGCUCAUUGUCUGCUGAGCCAUCUGCACCUGGCAAGGCCACCCUUUCUCUACUAAAUAAAGGGCACUGUUCACAUGGGCUGAGGCCUGGA